rnacentral:rRNA from 1 species
GACGAACGCUGGCGGCGUGCUUAACACAUGCAAGUCGAACGGAAAGGCCCUGCUUUUGUGGGGUGCUCGAGUGGCGAACGGGUGAGUAACACGUGAGUAACCUGCCCUUGACUUUGGGAUAACUUCAGGAAACUGGGGCUAAUACCGGAUAGGAGCUCCUGCUGCAUGGUGGGGGUUGGAAAGUUUCGGCGGUUGGGGAUGGACUCGCGGCUUAUCAGCUUGUUGGUGGGGUAGUGGCUUACCAAGGCUUUGACGGGUAGCCGGCCUGAGAGGGUGACCGGACACAUUGGGACUGAGAUACGGCCCAGACUCCUACGGGAGGCAGCGGUGGGGAAUAUUGCACAAUGGACGGAAGCCUGAUGCAGCAACGCCGCGUGCGGGAUAACGGCCUUCGGGUUGUAAACCGCUUUCGCCUGUGACGAAGCGUGAGUGACGGUAAUGGGUAAAGAAGCACCGGCUAACUACGUG